rnacentral:ncRNA from 1 species
CGGUAAUAUGAUGAAAAGGGAAUCAGGUGAAAAUCCUGAACAGACCCGCUGCUGUAAGCUCUAUCAAAGUCUUUGAGCAAAACUCAAAACCACUGUUUCUUCGGAAAUGGGAAGGACGCUCAAAGAUGGAGUAAGUCAGAAGACCUGCCAAGAUUAAUA